CAAUGAUUGCAUACCACCCUGAACAUGCCUGAUCUCGUCUGAUCUCGGAAGCUAAGGGUUUGGGCCUGGUUAGUACUUGGAAGGGAGUCCACACCUUUGUAAAUUUGCAUUUUAUUAG
rnacentral:rRNA from 1 species